UUCGUAGUACUUACUACGCAUGUGUGUGUGUAUCAAAAUGUAAUAUGUUCGUGAGAGAGUGCACUGUGCGCAGUGUGUCUCCACCUAGUCCACCUCCUCCCGCAUCAUCAUCAUCGUAUUGUGUGCAUAUGUAAACACAUGAUACCUAAUGAAUCAUCAGUAUUUAACUUAUCAUCACUGUCGUAAGUUAAGUAGUCAGUACACACUCAUUUCGUGAUAUACUUGAACUUCGUGACGUGCAGCGCCUACAUACAUAUAUACUUUACCUAUAGUUAGAUUAGACAGAGAUGAGGAAGAGGACGUAUAUACGGUAUAUCGAGGACGUGGAGUGAUAAGAAGAGUUGUUAUCACAAUCGAACUGGAGAUGAUUUCUGGCUAGUGAAGUUAGAGGUGUUCUCGGUACAAGAGACUUGACACUGAGAUUAUAUGAUGUGUUUGUGAUUUGAGUGGCAUAUACGAAGCAACCAAAUGUGUCUAUUAAUUCAAUGUUAGGCCAGAUGAUUUUAUUAUCUUUGAUGUACAAAAACAUAUUUUAUAUUUGAACAUUUUUUAAGUAAUACCGUAUAUAUACAUAUAUGUAGAUGAAACUUCGUAAGAAUUUGUGAUGUGCAAAUUUUACAAUUGCUCACACGUACUUUAGCUGAGAAAAUUGCAGCCAUCAGUAUCAUCAUUACCAUCAUCAGCUUGAAAUUUUGAUUCUAAGAAAUACAUAUAUAUGUAUAUUUUUUUGAGUAAAUGGUGCUAGUCACUGCUUUGAAGUGGAUCUAAGACACACACACACAUGCAAUGCCGAGAUGCUGCAAUGAGAACAAAUCACUGAGGCUGGUGAGCAGCAAUCAGCAACACGGCACAGAUAAUAUUUUACUCCCACACCCUCGACCUUAUUCCAUUGCUGGUGGAGAGCAGUUAGAUGUAGAAGAGGAUCCGCCUGUGGUCGUUGUUCAAAGAUCUCACAGGAGGGUACGCUGUGAUCUUAGUCCUGUCCCUACCAAUACUAAUUCCAAUUACAUCAAGUUAAUUGGUAUAAAGGACAAAUCCAGUCGACAAGAAAAUCAAUUAAAACACAGUCCUGGAAGUAGUGGACAUAGAGAUAGAGAAAGAGAGGCAAAAAAGAGAGCAGCUAUAGGCAACGUAGUGCGUGGACUUUUCCCUUCAGGCCAUAGUAGGCAGGAC